GGGCCUACGGGACGCAGCAGUGGGGAAUAUUGCACAAUGGGGGAAACCCUGAUGCAGCGACGCCGCGUGAGCGAUGAAGUAUUUCGGUAUGUAAAGCUCUAUCAGCAGGGAAGAAAAUGACGGUACCUGACUAAGAAGCCCCGGCUAACUACGUGCCAGCAGCCGCGGUAAUACGUGGGGGGCAAGCGUUAUCCGGAUUUACUGGGUGUAAAGGGAGCGUAGACGGCGAUGCAAGCCAGAUGUGAAAGCCCGGGGCUCAACCCCGGGACUGCAUUUGGAACUGUAUAGCUAGAGUGUCGGAGAGG
rnacentral:rRNA from 1 species